UGGGGGCUUUUCAGGCGACGUUCGGAUAUUGGGUUUAAGGGUCCGUAGGCGGGCCAUUAAGUCAGGGGUGAAAGUCUGCGGCUCAACCGUAGAAUUGCCCUUGAUACUGGUGGUCUUGAGUUAUGGUGAAGUGGCCGGAAUAUGUAGUGUAGCGGUGAAAUGCAUAGAUAUUACAUAGAACACCGAUUGCGAAGGCAGGUCACUAACCAUAUACUGACGCUGAUGGACGAAAGCGUGGGGAGCGAACAGGAUUAGAUACCCUGGUAGUCCACGCCGUAAACGAUGGAUACUAGCUGUCCGGGCGCAAGCCUGGGCGGCCAAGCGAAAGUGAUAAGUAUCCCACCUGGGGAGUACGUCCGCAAGGAUGAAACUCAAAGGAAUUGACGGGGGCCCGCACAAGCGGUGGAGCAUGUGGUUUAAUUCGAUGAUACGCGAGGAACCUUACCAGGGCUUAAAUGUGGUCUGACAGCUUUAGAGAUAGAGUUUCCUUCGGGCAGAUCACAAGGUGCUGCAUGGUUGUCGUCAGCUCGUGCCGUGAGGUGUCAGGUUAAGUCCUAUAACGAGCGCAACCCCUGCCGUUAGUUGCCAGCAUGUAAAGAUGGGGACUCUAACGGGACUGCCGGUGCAAACCGCGAGGAAGGUGGGGAUGACGUCAAAUCAUCACGGCCCUUACGUCCUGGGCCACACACGUGCUACAAUGGCCGGUACAGAGAGCAGCCACGUCGCAAGGCGGAGCGAAUCUAUAAAACCGGUCACAGUUCGGAUCGGGGUCUGCAACUCGACCCCGUGAAGCUGGAAUCGCUAGUAAUCGGAUAUCAGCCAUGAUCCGGUGAAUACGUUCCCGGGCCUUGUACACACCGCCCGUCAAGCCAUGGAAGCCGGGAGUGCCUGAAGUCCGUCACCGCAAGGAGCGGCCUAGGGCAAGAUCGGUAACUAGGGCUAAUCUACAGAGGGGAGACCCCCCAAAAAAAGGGAGGGGGGG
rnacentral:rRNA from 1 species